ensembl:lincRNA Gm2694 predicted gene 2694
GGGGCAGCGGGGCUGGGCUCCGGCCGGGAGUCAGACGAGGGAGCGCGCGCGCGCUCCCGGACAGUUCUCCGCAGCCGCUCGCCCGAGCCUUCUACUUGGCCAACACAGCUGCCUCUACCACCUCGCGUGCCCGGUUCGUGGGCUUUCAGUUACCAAGCAUGUCCUGAAGAUGAAGAUACUCUCAGCCUAACGUCUCCAAGCAAAUAUUGAUUCAGCAGUAUCCCCAGGCAAAGCCACACCAUAUAUCAGUGAACAGAGAAACAACUGCCCUUCUCCGGGCCCCUGUCUGAGAAGCUGGAGCAUCAGCCCUGGAGCUCUCCGGAGCAGUUUCCUUGCUCACUGUCCCCAGCUGAACACAGGACCAGAGGGGAUACUGCCUGCUCAGGAAAGCCAAGAGGAGCCUGCUUCUCCUGAAAUGUAAAAAGUACACUGUGCAUAUGGAAAGCAUUAUUGUGUUUCACUGUGCAUCGCCAGAUUCUUCUUGCAAAACAUUGAAGCUUAGCUCAUAAUUUGGUGAUAAAAUAUUGAUUAUUUAUCCACAGCCGCAUGCAGAGGUCCAAAGCACGUAAACAGGAUACCCACCCUGCAUUAUCUUAUAUUUUAAGUCAAUAUGAAGAUGGACAUUCUACCCCUGAGACCAAUUUCGAUCAAAUACUUUUGUCAAUAAAAAGAUACUAAUGUC